UUAUUUAAUGCUCUUCACCAUGCAGGUACAAAGGAUAGCACCAACCUCACAGAUGCCUCUGCAUGGACUUGAAGCUGUUCUCCAGGAGGAGGUUCUGACCCAGGAGACACAGCUGACCUCACCUUGGCAUUGACCUGCAGGUCCUUUCAUUGUGUCUGACCCGGUUUUCAGGAAGAAGACUCACUUUGCUUGGCUGGACGAUCAACUGGGGUAAAUUUUCAGAGUCAUUCCAGGCAGAAAACCGGAUUCCUCUUGCUAUUGUAACGUGUUCUUCCUGCCACAGGUGAUAUAAAGACUUUGCGCUUCACCGGCAGUGGAAGACCAGGAGAGUUCCCUCCUUAUUACUAUGAUGGCUCACCUGGACCCUGACCUGAAUGUCAACGCUGAAUGCACGGAGAAUAUUAAUUGCUUUCCACAAUCUGUCACACAUUUCAGUUGUCACACA